GAAAGUAAGUAAGGGCGUAUGGGGGAUGCCUAGGCUCUUGGAGGCGACGAAGGACGUGGUAAGCUGCGAAAAGCCGCGGGGAUUAGCAAACGUGAAUUGAUCCGCGGAUCUCCGAAUGGGACAACCCGUUAGGUAGAAGACCUAACACACCGGCAACGGUGAGCCAACCCUCUGAACUGAAACAUCUAAGUAGGAGGAGGAAAAGAAAGAAACAUCGAUUUCCAAAGUAGCGGCGAGCGAAAUGGAAGAAGCCUAAACCAUGGUUGUUACGGCAAUCAUGGGGUUGUAGGACUGCGAUAUUCGCGUAACGAAGAACUGGAAUGGUCUGGAAAGUCCAUCCGUAGAGAGUGAAAGGCUCGUACAGGUAAUUCAGUUACAAGAUAGCAGUAUCCUGAGUAGGGCGGGACACGAGGAAUCCUGUCUGAAUCUGCCGGGACCACCCGGUAAGGCUAAAUACUCCCAAGAGACCGAUAGUGAACCAGUACUGUGAAGGAAAGGUGAAAAGAACCCCGAACAGGGGAGUGAAAAAGAACCUGAAACCAUACGCUUACAACCUGUCGGAGCGGCUUCGUGCCGUGACGGCGUGCCUAUUGAAUAAUGAGCCUACGAGUUACUAAUCACUGGCGAGGUUAAGUGCUAGGAAGCACGGAGCCGAAGCGAAAGCGAGUCUGAAUAGGGCGGCCAGUCAGUGGUUGUAGACGCGAAACCUUGCGAUCUACCCUUGAGCAGGAUGAAGGUUGGGUAAAACCAACUGGAGGUCCGAACGAAUAAGCGUUGAAAAGCUUCUCGAUGACUUGAGGGUAGGGGUGAAAGGCUAAUCAAGCUGGGAAAUAGCUCGUACUCCCCGAAAUGCCUUUAGGGGCAGCGUUGUAAUUGAGAGUCUACUGGAGGUAGAGCUACUGAUUGGAUGCGGGGGCUUCACCGCCUACCAAAUCCUGACAAACUCCGAAUGCCAGUAGUAUGAUUUACAGCAGUGAGCGACCGGGUGCUAAUGUCCGGUCACAAAAGAGGAACAACUCAGACCAGCAACUAAGGUCCCCAAGAAUAUGCUAAGUUGAACUAACGAUGUUUUGUUGCAGAGACAGCUAGGAUGUUAGCUUGGAAGCAGCUAUUCAUUCAAAGAGUGCGUAACAGCUCACUAGUCGAGCGACAGAGCGUGGAUAAUAAACGGGCAUCAAGCAUAUCACCGAAGUUCUGGACGCGAAAGCGUGGUAGGGGAGCAUUCCAUUCAGCGUCGAAGCCGUCUCGUGAGGGAUGGUGGAGCGUAUGGAAAAGCAAAUGUAGGCAUGAGUAACGAUAAUGCGGGAGAGUAACCCGCACACCGCAAGACCAAGGUUUCCUGAUCAACGCUAAUCGGAUCAGGGUUAGUCGGGUCCUAAGGGUAAGCCGAAAGGUGAUCUCGAUGGAUAAUCGGUUAAUAUUCCGAUACUGACAUGCACCUCGAUGGAGAGACGAAGGAACGUAAGUGACGCGAACUGACGGAAUAGUUCGUUAAAGGCCGUAGGUAUAGGGACAGAUUAAGAGUUAGUUCCUGCUGAACGCCGACAGUACCGAGCGCCUACGGGCAAUCGGAUAGUUCACCCAAGUCUACUUCCGAGAAAAUCUUCUAAGUUAUAGUGUAUGUCACCCGUACCGUAAACCGACACAGGUGGUCGAGGAGAGUAUCCUAAGGUGCUCGAGUGAAUCACGGUUAAGGAACUAGGCAAAUUAACCCCGUAACUUCGGGAAAAGGGGUCCCUGCGAGAGCAGGGCGCAGCGAAGAGGUCCAGGCGACUGUUUAUCAAAAACACAGGGCUCUGCAAAUUCGAAAGAAGACGUAUAGGGCCUGACACCUGCCCGGUGCUGGAAGGUUAAGAGGGGAUGUCAUCGCAAGAGAAGCAUUGAAUCGAAGCCCCAGUAAACGGCGGCCGUAACUAUAACGGUCCUAAGGUAGCGAAAUUCCUUGUCGGGUAAGUUCCGACCUGCACGAAUGGUGUAACGAUCUGGACACUGUCUCAACCGUGAGCUCGGUGAAAUUGUAGUCCCGGUGAAGAUGCCGGGUACCCGCAACGGGACGAAAAGACCCCGUGAACCUUUACUAUAGCUUAACGCUGAAUUUGGGUGCAUAAUGUGUAGGAUAGGCAGGAGACUGCGAAGCGGGUACGCCAGUAUUCGUGGAGUCGACGUUGAAAUACUGCCCUUUGUGUAUUUGAAUUCUAACCCCUUGCGGGGGACACCGUUUGGUGGGUAGUUUGACUGGGGUGGUCGCCUCCAAAAGCGUAACGGAGGCUUCCCAAGGUGCCCUCAGCACGAAUGGUAACCGUGCGUAGAGUGCAAUAGCAUAAGGGCGCUUGACUGUGAGACCUACAAGUCGAACAGGUACGAAAGUAGGGUAUAGUGAUCCGGUGGUUCUGUGUGGACUGGCCAUCGCUCAAAGGAUAAAAGGUACUCCGGGGAUAACAGGCUGAUCGCCGCCAAGAGCUCAUAUCGACGCGGCGGUUUGGCACCUCGAUGUCGGCUCGUCACAUCCUGGGGCUGGAGAAGGUCCCAAGGGUUCGGCUGUUCGCCGAUUAAAGUGGCACGCGAGCUGGGUUCAGAACGUCGUGAGACAGUUCGGUCUCUAUCUGUUGCGGGCGUAGGAAGAUUGAGGGGUCCUGACUUUAGUACGAGAGGACCGAGUUGGACGAACCUCCGGUGUAUCGGUUAUGCUGCCAAGUGUACCGCCGAGUAGCCGCGUUCGGUUUGGAUAAGCGCUGAAAGCAUCUAAGCGCGAAGCCAUCCCCAAGAUAAGUCUUCCCUUGAGGGGCGUAGGAGACGACUACGUUGAUAGGCUGCAGGUGUAAAGACAGUAAUGUCAAAGCCGAGCAGUACUAAUUACCCGAACGGCUUUCUUUC
rnacentral:rRNA from 1 species